GAUGAACGCUGGCGGCGUGCCUAAUACAUGCAAGUCGAGCGAACAGACGAGGAGCUUGCUCCUCUGCCGUUAGCGGCGGACGGGUGAGUAACACGUGGAUAACCUACCUAUAAGACUGGGAUAACUUCGGGAAACCGGAGCUAAUACCGGAUAAUAUAUUGAACCGCAUGGUUCAAUAGUGAAAGACGGUUUUGCUGUCACUUAUAGAUGGAUCCGCGCCGCAUUAGCUAGUUGGUAAGGUAACGGCUUACCAAGGCAACGAUGCGUAGCCGACCUGAGAGGGUGAUCGGCCACACUGGAACUGAGACACGGUCCAGACUCCUACGGGAGGCAGCAGUAGGGAAUCUUCCGCAAUGGGCGAAAGCUUGACGGAGCAACGCCGCGUGAGUGAUGAAGGUCUUCGGAUCGUAAAACUCUGUUAUUAGGGAAGAACAAAUGUGUAAGUAACUAUGCACGUCUUGACGGUACCUAAUCAGAAAGCCACGGCUAACUACGUG
rnacentral:rRNA from 1 species